rnacentral:rRNA from 1 species
GACGAACGCUGGCGGCGUGCCUAAUACAUGCAAGUUGAGCGCUGAAGGUUGGUACUUGUACCAACUGGAUGAGCAGCGAACGGGUGAGUAACGCGUGGGGAAUCUGCCUUUGAGCGGGGGACAACAUUUGGAAACGAAUGCUAAUACCGCAUAAAAACUUUAAACACAAGUUUUAAGUUUGAAAGAUGCAAUUGCAUCACUCAAAGAUGAUCCCGCGUUGUAUUAGCUAGUUGGUGAGGUAAAGGCUCACCAAGGCGAUGAUCCAUAGCCGACCUGAGAGGGUGAUCGGCCACAUUGGGACUGAGACACGGCCCAAACUCCUACGGGAGGCAGCAGGAGGGAAACGUCGGCAAUGGACGAAAGUCUGACCGAGCAACGCCGCGUGAGUGAAGAAGGUUGUCGGAUCGUAAAACUCGGUUGGUAGGGAAGAACGUUGGUGAGAGUGGAAAGCUCAUCAAGUGACGGUAACUACCCAGAAAGGGACGGCUAACUACGUG